ensembl:lncRNA
GGGGGGUUAUGGGGUGGGUUAUGGGGUUAUGGGGUCAGGGGGGACAGUGGGGUUAUGGGAGGUGAUGGUGGAGUAAAAGGGCUGGAAGCCAACGGGGGCCAACGAGGAGCACAGAGCUGUGGGGUUAUAGGGCGGUUAUAGGGUCAGCUGGGGGGUUAUAGGGUCAGCAUUGGGGGUAGGGGUCAGGGGGGUGUGGGGUUAUGGGGGGUGAUGGCGGAGUAAAAGGGCUGGAAGCCAACGGGGGCCAACGAGGAGCACAGAGCUGUGGGGUUAUGGGGCGGUAUAGGGUCAGCUGGGGGGUUACGGGGUCAGCAGGGGUGUAUGGGGUCAGCGGUGGGGUUAUGGGGGUUGAUGGCGGAGUGGGGAAGCCAAUGGGGGCCAACGAGGAGCACAGAGCUGUGGGGUUAUAGGGCGGUUAUAG